rnacentral:rRNA from 1 species
AUGCCCACUCCUAAACCUAACAGCCAGCUCUCUCUCACUUGCUCUAUUCGCUCAAUUGACCAGGGCAGAAGAUUGGAUCAGGAGCAACUGGGCGACCGCACGAGCGUGCCUCCGCCGUCGCCGCCUGGAUUCACCUCGCUGCCCUCCAGAGUCACCACUAUGAUUUGCUGUAUAAUGCUCCUGUUUGCUGCUGCUGACCUACUGAUGUUGCUGUUGUGCUGGUUAGGGAGUGGCGUGGCAUGUGCAGCCCAUCUUCAGGCAUGGAAGCAACAUACCGACAUGGCAUCUGCAGGCAGUGGCAUGCCAGGCAGCCAAUCUUCAGUUGGUGGUAGUAUAAACAACAGUAUCGGUGUUGAUACUGAAGAGACUGGGGCUGGUAUUGUCAAUCAGAAGUAUCCUCUACGGGCUCAUUCUACAACUUAA